rnacentral:rRNA from 1 species
UAAGGGCGCACGGUGGAUGCCUUGGCACUAGAAGCCGAUGAAGGACGUUACUAACGACGAUAUGCUUUGGGGAGCUGUAAGUAAGCUUUGAUCCAGAGAUUUCCGAAUGGGGAAACCCAGCAUGAGUUAUGUCAUGUUAUCGAUAUGUGAAUACAUAGCAUAUCAGAAGGCACACCCGGAGAACUGAAACAUCUUAGUACCCGGAGGAAGAGAAAGAAAAUUCGAUUCCCUUAGUAGCGGCGAGCGAAACGGGAAGAGCCCAAACCAACAAGCUUGCUUGUUGGGGUUGUAGGACACUCUAUACGGAGUUACAAAGGACGACAUUAGACGAAUCAUCUGGAAAGAUGAAUCAAAGAAGGUAAUAAUCCUGUAGUCGAAAAUGUUGUCUCUCUUGAGUGGAUCCUGAGUACGACGGAGCACGUGAAAUUCCGUCGGAAUCUGGGAGGACCAUCUCCUAAGGCUAAAUACUCUCUAGUGACCGAUAGUGAACCAGUACCGUGAGGGAAAGGUGAAAAGCACCCCGGAAGGGGAGUGAAAUAGAACCUGAAACCGUGUGCUUACAAGUAGUCAGAGCCCGUUAAUGGGUGAUGGCGUGCCUUUUGUAGAAUGAACCGGCGAGUUACGAUUUGAUGCAAGGUUAAGCAGUAAAUGUGGAGCCGUAGCGAAAGCGAGUCUGAAUAGGGCGUUUAGUAUUUGGUCGUAGACCCGAAACCAGGUGAUCUACCCUUGGUCAGGUUGAAGUUCAGGUAACACUGAAUGGAGGACCGAACCGACUUACGUUGAAAAGUGAGCGGAUGAACUGAGGGUAGCGGAGAAAUUCCAAUCGAACCUGGAGAUAGCUGGUUCUCUCCGAAAUAGCUUUAGGGCUAGCCUCAAGUGAUGAUUAUUGGAGGUAGAGCACUGUUUGGACGAGGGGCCCCUCUCGGGUUACCGAAUUCAGACAAACUCCGAAUGCCAAUUAAUUUAACUUGGGAGUCAGAACAUGGGUGAUAAGGUCCGUGUUCGAAAGGGAAACAGCC